UACGUAGGGGGGCAAGCGUUGUCCGGAAUCAUUGGGCGUAAAGAGCGUGUAGGCGGCUCGAUAAGUCCGCUGUGAAAGUCCAGGGCUCAACCCUGGAAAGCCGGUGGAUACUGUCGGGCUAGAGUCCGGAAGAGGCGAGUGGAAUUCCUGGUGUAGCGGUGGAAUGCGCAGAUAUCAGGAGGAACACCGAUGGCGAAGGCAGCUCGCUGGGACGGUACUGACGCUGAGGCGCGAAAGCGUGGGGAGCGAACAGG
rnacentral:rRNA from 1 species